UCCAGCUCCAUACCUGGGUGCAGGGGUAGGAUGUGGGGUCCUUGUGCUGCUGGUACUGCUGAUAGGAGGAGUGCUGAAGUGGCUGCAAUCCAAACGAGGCCAUGCUGUCCAGACUGAUUCUGAAUAUGCUACGGUGAGUAAGCCUAAGCAGCCUUCAAAGCAACAGGACGACACACUCACAUACUCAGAAAUAAACACUGCCCGUGUCACCAAGAAGAAACCCAGCUCUGCACCUGAUGAAGACAAUGUAACAUAUGCAGCAGUUAAAACUUCCAGAUACUGAAAACCACUGGGGAAAAAUGAAUGUUGUUUUGAAAAAUACAUGAAUAUUCAAUGAAUCAAAAUGGUCUUUCUCUUUUAUCUACGUACUCUCUACUUUCAUACCUACCAGAACGAUCAUACAGAGUCCGGUCAGAGGGAGGCACUUUAGUUAUUGUCCCAGAACUGACAAACCAUUGGAGAUAUAAAUAAUCUAGGGGACUGUGGUGGAAUGUGUCAAACAAUAGAAGACACAUUAAUAGCACUUCCAUCAAUGCUGGGAGACAAACUUUUCUAUGAAACCUUCUGCACAGGUUCUAGUGUUUAAAGAGCCAGUAGCAUACUGUGUGUUUCCCUACAGGAGUGUGGGAUUCUUAAUCAAAGCUAACACACAAUGCAUUUCUUACUCAAAGCUAACACACAAUGCAUUUCUUAUG